rnacentral:rRNA from 1 species
UGGGGAAUUUUGGACAAUGGGCGAAAGCCUGAUCCAGCAAUGCCGCGUGUGUGAAGAAGGCCUUCGGGUUGUAAAGCACUUUUGUCCGGAAAGAAAUCCUUGGCUCUAAUACAGUCGGGGGAUGACGGUACCGGAAGAAUAAGCACCGGCUAACUACGUGCCAGCAGCCGCGGUAAUACGUAGGGUGCAAGCGUUAAUCGGAAUUACUGGGCGUAAAGCGUGCGCAGGCGGCUUGCUAAGACCGAUGUAAAAUCCCCGGGCUCAACCUGGGAACUGCAUUGGUGACUGGCAGGCUAGAGUAUGGCAGAGGGGGGUAGAAUUCCACGUGUAGCAGUGAAAUGCGUAGAGAUGUGGAGGAAUACCGAUGGCGAAGGCAGCCCCCUGGGCCAAUACUGACGCUCAUGCACGAAAGCGUGGGGAGCAAAACAGGAUUAGAUACCCUGGUAGUCCACGCCCUAAACGAUGUCAACUAGUUGUUGGGGAUUCAUUUCCUUAGUAACGUAGCUAACGCGUGAAGUUGACCGCCUGGGGAGUACGGUCGCAAGAUUAAAACUCAAAGGAAUUGACGGGGUCAUAGCUGUUUCCU